UGAACGCUGGCGGCAGGCCUAACACAUGCAAGUCGAACGGUAACAGGAAACAGCUUGCUGUUUCGCUGACGAGUGGCGGACGGGUGAGUAAUGUCUGGGAAACUGCCUGAUGGAGGGGGAUAACUACUGGAAACGGUAGCUAAUACCGCAUAACGUCGCAAGACCAAAGAGGGGGACCUUCGGGCCUCUUGCCAUCGGAUGUGCCCAGAUGGGAUUAGCUAGUAGGUGGGGUAACGGCUCACCUAGGCGACGAUCCCUAGCUGGUCUGAGAGGAUGACCAGCCACACUGGAACUGAGACACGGUCCAGACUCCUACGGGAGGCAGCAGUGGGGAAUAUUGCACAAUGGGCGCAAGCCUGAUGCAGCCAUGCCGCGUGUAUGAAGAAGGCCUUCGGGUUGUAAAGUACUUUCAGCGGGGAGGAAGGGAGUAAAGUUAAUACCUUUACUCAUUGACGUUACCCGCAGAAGAAGCACCGGCUAACUCCGUG
rnacentral:rRNA from 1 species